GAGAGGAGCGCGAUUCGCCCAUAUAUAUAUAUAUAUAUAUAGGCAAUGGCGCUCGGAGUUGGACAGAGUGUUUCCUGUUCUGGAUUCUUGAAUCGAAUCCGAUAAGUUAGAUGUAAGCGUGUUUCCUGUUCUGGAUUAGAAAGCCCCAAAUUAAUUAGACUAAUUAUAUUUUAGUGUCGAAUUAUAUAUAUUUAAUUUGAAAUUAUCUUUCGCACAUGCCUUCAGCUUCUUUCUAUGUAUCUCCGAGAUCCAGCGAGCCAAUCGCCCGGUUCGGUUUAGGGUUGAUUUUGAGCUUUCCUUGAUGGAUUUUAGGUUCGAGGAUCUUGAAGACGGAGGUAUCUGCGCUGGUUCUUCUGGUGUUGGCUUGUGGUGUACAAUCUAUGCAUUUCUUUGUGUGUCUUCAAGACGGAGGAUCUUGAAGACGGAGGUAUCUGCGCUGGUUCUUCUGGUGUUGGCUUGUGGUGUACAAUCUAUGCAUUUCUUUGUGUGUCUUCAAGACGGAGGAUCUUGAAGACGGAGGUAUCUGCGCUGGUUCUUCUGGUGUUGGCUUGUGGUGUACAAUCUAUGCAUUUCUUUGUGUGUCUUCAAGACGGAGGAUCUUGAAGACGGAGGUAUCUGCGCUGAUUUUGGGUGGGAGCUGAUAGAAGGUACAAGAUUUGGUGUUGCAUUGGCAAUCCAUUGGCAUUGCAUUCGGUAGCAUGCUUGCCAAGACUGCCAGGCGAAGUAGUUCACAGUGCUAUGCCUUGAGGACUUCUUGCGGUUUGCCAUGUCUGUUCUAUGUAGAGGCUCCACCGGCAUAUUCAUCUUCUUCUACUGCAUAUACUACUAUCACGCGAGAUCAGACAUGUCAGGCUUCAUGCAAACAUAUGACUUGCAUUUGCUAUGGAUUCUUCCUUCCUUAUGAUGCUGGGGACUGUCGGUCUGUGCCUCUUUGCUGUUCGUGUGGCACAUAUAUUGGGACAUCGAAUGUGAGUAAAAAUUUGCUCUUUCUGCCAAUAAA